UACGGGGGGAGCAAGCGUUGUUCGGAUUUACUGGGCGUAAAGGGCGCGUAGGCGGCCACCGCAAGUCGACUGUGAAGUCCCCAGGCUUAACCUGGGAACUGCAUCCGAUACUGGAUGGCUUGAAUUCGGGAGAGGGAUGCAGAAUUCCAGGUGUAGCGGUGAAAUGCGUAGAUAUCUGGAGGAACACCGGUGGCGAAGGCGACAUCCUGGACCGGUAUUGACGCUGAGGCGCGAAAGCCAGGGGAGCAAAGCGGG
rnacentral:rRNA from 1 species